UGGAAAGAUGAGUCAAAUCGAAGAACUAAAAGCGUUUGUCUCCGAGCGGCUACAUUCUGCUGCUUCUGAAAUAUUAGGUGCUAUUGAAAAAACAAUAACGAAUUACGAGGAGCAGGCUAUCCGUUUGAAGGAAGACAACGACCGUCACCGUUCUCUGUUGGAUAUUAUCAUCAAAGCCAAUUCACCACAGACAGAAGCUGUUUGCACCACCAAAAAACGUACCCCUGCUGCUGCUGGCCCAGCUGCAUCAGAUCCAAGUCCUGCCCGCAAGGCCAGAGAAACCCACUACAAUUCCAGUGACUUGCAGUAUGCCUUCACUUCACACACUGACUUUCUAAAGUUUGCCGGCAAUGACGACUGUCCCUACUGCCUAAAGAGAAUUCAAGCCACUGAGACACAUUUGAUGAGAAGACAUUAUCUCUCUGCUGUCCAUUUUAAUGAAGAUGGUACUGAAAAGUUUGUUGUACCAUGUACGUGCAAAGACUUGAUCCAAGGCAGAAGUCACUGGCACUGCCCAUAUUGCACAAAAAUCAUUUAUCGGAAAGUUAGCUUUGAGGUGCACAUAUCUAAACAACAUGGUUAUGCAAUACUGCAGCAAAGCCACUCCGCAGGUUAGUUUACAAUAUGUCUGAUGCCCCUCAAAUGAUUAUUGGCCAUUUCAAUUUCAGAAUGAUGCUGUGAACACUUUUAUAGAACUAAUUGUUAAUAUUUCUUGCAUAAGUUGAAAAAAGCAGCACCUGCAUAGCUAUGUAUUUAUAUUCUACACAAUAAUGCAGCAGUAAACCUUUCUAAUUUAAAAUACAUGGCUUCACAUCAUCAACGCUGCAUUCAGUGUUACUGGAGUGUUGUAGUCGAAAAUCAUACAUUAUGGUGAAUUAGUGCUGUCAAUUGAUUCAAAUAUUUAAUAGCGAUUAAUCGCAUGAUUGUCCAUAGUUUACUCGCGAUCAAUCACAAAUUAAUCACAUUUUUUAUGUUCUAAAUGUAGUUUUUUUUCUUUCUUCAAGUGUUUAAUGCUCUUAUCAACAUGGGAACGGACAAAUAUGCUUGCUUUAUGCAAAUGUUUAAUAUUAUUGCAACAAUCCAAAACAAUGACAAAUACUGCCUUGAGGUUAUUCUGGAGAAUAUUCUAAGGUACUGUAUGCUCAAAAAAAUAUGCUGAAGUAUAAUAUGGCAAACUCAAGCCUAUUAAGCAUCAACAGACCUGAAUGUACCAUUACAUGGUAAUUCUAACACAAUGUAGUGUCCCACUUUACACUUGUACUUCCUACUUCUUUGUACUUGUUUGGCGAGGAGGCUUUUCUCUGUCAGCCGUAUGCUUGGCCAGCAAGUGGUAUUUGAGACUCAACGUACUCCGGGGAGAUUGAUCAGCCCUCUGUCUCUGCCUUUGAGGAGGAGGUUCCCCUGAGUCCUGGACCUUGGUGUCACCAGGAGUUCAGCAGUCUGGACCAGGAGGUCCAACAGGCCUCACUGCUGCUUCAAGUUAAAGAAGAAGAAGAAGAAAAAGAAGAACAGGAAAUGCGGAAACAAGUGAGUCAUCCUGAGGGGCAGAACGUAUGUGAGCAAGUACAAAAAGGUAACCGUCAAAUGAGUCUGGAGGCAGAUCAUGCCCAAGUCUCUGUAUUCAACAUUGUCUGUGUGGACAGUUAUAUUCAAGAUGUUGGCGAAAUCAACAGUGCAGGAAGGGGCAAGGGACAUCCUCCUUCUAAUUCUUCGAAUCAACCUCUGGAAAUGCAUGAUAGUGGUUUUGGUGAAAUACAGCAGCCAGCUGGGGAAUCUGAGCACCCCACACCUUGCUCUAGUUUAAAGGCAUUCAAUUCAAAGAGGAAAAAGCGUGUGAAAAGGUCUUUACCCCCCUUGAGUUUGAAUAUACAGAAAUCAACACAACCAUCUGUCAGUCACAAUCCCACAGGUCCUCAUUGUUGUAAAGCAUGCGGAAAGACUUUCCAUUACAUGUACACACUGAGGUCACACGCACAAACACAUGCAGUGGAUAAAAUCCAUGUUUGUGCUAUCUGUGGAAAACAUUUAGAGUCUACAGACAGUUUAGUCCAGCACCUUCAAAGCCACACAAAGAGAAACAAAUGUGCUACAUGUGGGAAAGUAUUUUCUAAUAUUUCCCUUCUAAAACGGCAUAGGAGAUUUCACAGGUCUAAAUGCCAUGUCAUUAACUUAAAAACCACAGAUGGGUGAAAUCCUACAGAUGUCAUAAAUGCCGAGUGAUAGCCAUUGUUUUUUAUUAUAGUCAGUUGUAGCCUGCUGGGGUGGGACGGAUUGAGAGGAUGAGAAGGAGAGACCAGAGGGUUGGGAAAGGGGAGUGCGGUUUUAUAUUUUGUGUAUUAUAUGGUGAUUUUAUGUAUACCAGAAUAUUUUGAAAAUUCAAUAAAAAAGAUGUUUUAAAAAAAAAUGUAUUGUACUUAUGGGACAAAUACUUCAGUCCUAGUGGUGGGAAGUAUGGUGAUGUUCAUUGUAUAUUGAGUUCAUAUACAAUUUUGUUCUAAAAUUAAAAAAAAAGGUUGAAGUCAAAUUUAA